UUGACCUCGAAUCAGGUAGGGAUACC
rnacentral:rRNA from 4 species